UACGAAGGGGGGCUAGCGUUGCUCGGAAUUACUGGGGCGUAAAGCGCACGUAGGCGGCUUUCUAAGUCGGGGGUGAAAUCCUGGAGCUCAACUCCAGAACUGCCUUCGAUACUGGGAGUCUCGAGUCCGGGAGAGGUGAGUAGAACUGCGAGUGUAGAGGUGAAAUUCGUAGAUAUUCGCAAGAACACCAGUGGCGAAGGCGGCUCACUGGCCCGGUACUGACGCUGAGGUGCGAAAGCGUGGGGAGCGAACAGG
rnacentral:rRNA from 1 species